rnacentral:lncRNA from 1 species
GUGUGAACUUAGAAGAACGGACGAUGUUGGAAGACAAAGCUUAAGCCCCAGGAUUAGCUCAAAUUCUUCUUGGAAGGGCUUGCAAGGUUUGCAGGAGGGUGCACAGUCGAUCUGGGGAGAGAAGUAAACACAAGCAAUGAAGAUAGUGGAGUGGCCUGGACGGGAAGCUUCUUUUACAAAGGAAGGAUGACAAGAGCCCACAGUUCUUAUUGUGUAGGUAAAAUGAGCCAGGGGCCAUGCCAACCGCAUCACAUGGAUUAUCACCUUGGAUUUUAACAGUAAGCCAAAGUAACAGGAAGAGGCAAUGAGAAGCCAGAGAGAAAAAUCAUGGACAACAGCAUGGGCAAUGGAAUCCUGGGACCGAACGGCUCCUGACAAGAGUAAGUGAGGCUUUGAGCUCCUGG